GACGAACGCUGGCGGCGUGCCUAAUACAUGCAAGUUGAGCGCUGAAGGUUGGUACUUGUACCGACUGGAUGAGCAGCGAACGGGUGAGUAACGCGUGGGGAAUCUGCCUUUGAGCGGGGGACAACAUUUGGAAACGAAUGCUAAUACCGCAUAAAAACUUUAAACACAAGUUUUAAGUUUGAAAGAUGCAAUUGCAUCACUCAAAGAUGAUCCCGCGUUGUAUUAGCUAGUUGGUGAGGUAAAGGCUCACCAAGGCGAUGAUACAUAGCCGACCUGAGAGGGUGAUCGGCCACAUUGGGACUGAGACACGGCCCAAACUCCUACGGGAGGCAGCAGUAGGGAAUCUUCGGCAAUAGACGAAAGUCUGACCGAGCAACGCCGCGUGAGUGAAGAAGGUUUUCGGAUCGUAAAACUCUGUUGGUAGAGAAGAACGUUGGUGAGAGUGGAAAGCUCAUCAAGUGACGGAAACUACCCAGAAAGGGACGGCUAACUACGUG
rnacentral:rRNA from 1 species